UACGUAGGGGGCGAGCGUUUGUCCGGAUUUAUUGGGCGUAAAGAGCUCGUAGGCGGCUGUUCGAGUCGGGUGUGAAAUCCUGAGGCUUAACCUUGGGUCUGCAUUCGAUACUGGGCGGCUUGAGUCUGGUAGGGGGAUCUGGAAUUCCUGGUGUAGCGGUGGAAUGCGCAGAUAUCAGGAGGAACACCGGUGGCGAAGGCGGGUCUCUGGGCCGAUACUGACGCUGAGGAGCGAAAGCGUGGGGAGCGAACAGG
rnacentral:rRNA from 1 species